GAGUGCCUGACAUUGGAAACUCAAUAGGCGGUCCGUUACCUGGGACACAGGAGGAUUUUCUGCUGUUUCAUGGGAGCAUCAGACAUUAAUUCUGAGGAUCACCAGAAAGCUUGAACAAGACCUUCAAUAAAAAUUUAAAGCUGCACAGCUUACAGUUUCCUGAUUACUCAAGAAUAAAAUAUAGGAUGCAUAUAUCAUGCUGAGAACAAUGCUACACCUAAUUUGCUUCAGCAAAUGAGAUCAAUUAAAAAUAACUCAACAAAAAUGAUACUGAAUCUUCAAUUACUUCAAGAAGAUGAAGAGCCAGACAUACAGUAAUUGACUUGUUCAUCUUCUUGUCCUUUAAAAC